GACGAACGCUGGCGGCGUGCCUAACACAUGCAAGUCGAGCGAGAAGCUUAUGAUUGAGACUUCGGUUGAUUGAAUAAGUGGAAAGCGGCGGACGGGUGAGUAACGCGUGAGUAACCUGCCUUUCAGUGGGGGACAACAGUUGGAAACGACUGCUAAUACCGCAUAAUGUUGUCGGAUGGCAUCAUCUGACAACCAAAGCUUUAUGUGCUGAAAGAUGGCCUCGCGUCUGAUUAGCUAGUUGGUGGGGUAACGGCCCACCAAGGCGACGAUCAGUAGCCGGUCUGAGAGGAUGAACGGCCACAUUGGGACUGAGACACGGCCCAAACUCCUACGGGAGGCAGCAGUGGGGAAUCUUCCGCAAUGGGCGCAAGCCUGACGGAGCAACGCCGCGUGAGUGAAGAAGGUUUUCGGAUCGUAAAGCUCUGUUGAGAGGGACGAGAGAUAUAAUCAGGAAAUGGGUUAUAGAGGACGGUACCUUUCGAGGAAGCCACGG
rnacentral:rRNA from 1 species